CUGAGAAAUUGAGACGAACAAAAAUUUUACUACACAAAAUAUUUGGAGAUGUUUCUAGCCGGAAUGGUGCUGUGCGAAUGAAAUAAAUGGGAAGGGAGAAAUAGAGAAUGGAUUGGACAGCAGCCCAAACACAUUUCACAGAUGACUUGAUGACUUUAUUUCUGGGUUACAUUUUCCAUAUUCAGCCCAUCACAUUAACCAAGCAAUACAAUUCUUUCAUUCCUUUAUUCUCUUAUAUUUUCAGUUAUUCCUCACACUCCGCUCCGAGCAGUACAGAACAACAAAUUUUUGUUUAGCUUCGAGUUUUGUUUGGUUUCAGUACUUUUACGGAUCAAAAAUGUGUGGACCCUGUGGAUCGUGCUGCAGUCCCUGCUGUGCUCCCUGUGGACCGUGCUGCGGGCCGUGCUGUGGACCGUGCUGUGGACCCUGCUAUGGACCCAAUGUCUACGGACCGUGCUGCGCAACAGGACCCUGCUUCGGGUGCUGCGGUGGCUGUUGCUAAGCACACGACAGGGUUUAAGCCUUCCAUCACAAGUCCGGUGAAGCCUGCACAAAUCUCGAAGCUAUCGUGUAGUCCUUGUGAAUAAAAUAUUUAUAAAACAUAAA